rnacentral:misc_RNA from 1 species
GAGAAUGGGAGAAAUUGAUGAAAAGCCAUUCCUUAAUACACUCAAGCAAAGAUUUCCACCUGAGGAAGCUCAGCUUCAGGCCAGUACUCAAUGCAGCUUGUGGCAGGAGGAUUUUAANNNNNNNNNNGAGUGGCAUCCAUUCAAAAUCAUCUAUUAUGCUGAAGGGAAUUCUGAGAUCCAGGAAAUAGUAGAUGAAGAAGAUGAGAGGCUACAAAAUCUCAAGCUGGAGUUGGGGGACGACAUAUACAUGGCAGUUGUUACUGCUUUGAAGGAGUUAAAUGAGUAUAAUCCAAGCGGGAGAUAUGUGAUUCCUGAGCUCUGGAAUUUCAAAGAAGAAAGGAAAGCCACGUUGAAGGAGGUGAUUGCUUAUAUUGUGAAGAAUAUCAAGACCCUUAAGCGCAAGAGAUGAAGAGAAGUUGACUGCUAAGGGGUGCCUCUGGAAGAAAUGGAAGGUCUUUUGCGGCAAAGAGGUUUCUUAAGAGUUAGAUUUUUUUUGGCUAGUCGCUCCAUCAAGAUUAUGCAUGCCAAAGAAUAAA